AGGACGAACGCUGGCGGCGUGCUUAACACAUGCAAGUCGAGCGGAAAGGCCCUUCGGGGUACUCGAGCGGCGAACGGGUGAGUAACACGUGAGCAACCUGCCCUUAGCUCCGGGAUAGCUCCGGGAAACCGGAAUUAAAUACCGGAUAUAACCACGGCCGACAUCUGCUGUGGUGGAAAGGAUUCCGGCUAAGGAUGGGCUCGCGGCCUAUCAGCUAGUUGGUGGGGUAACGGCCCACCAAGGCGACGACGGGUA
rnacentral:rRNA from 1 species